rnacentral:rRNA from 1 species
GAUGAACGCUGGCGGCGUUCCUAAUACAUGCAAGUCGAGCGAACGGACGAGAAGCUUGCUUCUCUGAUGUUAGCGGCGGACGGGUGAGUAACACGUGGAUAACCUACCUAUAAGACUGGGAUAACUUCGGGAAACCGGAGCUAAUACCGGAUAAUAUUUUGAACCGCAUGGUUCAAAAGUGAAAGACGGUCUUGCUGUCACUUAUAGAUGGAUCCGCGCUGCAUUAGCUAGUUGGUAAGGUAACGGCUUACCAAGGCAACGAUGCAUAGCCGACCUGAGAGGGUGAUCGGCCACCCUGGAACUGAGACACGGUCCAGACUCCUACGGGAGGCAGCAGUAGGGAAUCUUCCGCAAUGGGCGAAAGCCUGACGGAGCAACGCCGCGUGAGUGAUGAAGGUCUUCGGAUCGUAAAACUCUGUUAUUAGGGAAGAACAUAUGUGUAAGUAACUGUGCACAUCUUGACGGUACCUAAUCAGAAAGCCACGGCUAACUACGUG